CAGUUGUCCACCAGACUGAGGACACAGCUGGCCUAAAUGACAAGUGACACUCCUUUGGGACCUUCACCAGACCCUUCAUAUCAUUACCAGUAAGGUGCGUCUACAGGAACCCAGGACACUUGUACAUUCCUACAACAUCAGUAUCUUCAAGAAAUCUCUAUUCUGACAAAAUUCUGCACGUGGCCUUAACAAUUUGAUAAAAGUUAUUGCUGAGUCCUUGCCAGUGUCUGACAGCAUUGUCCCAGACUUUGCAUGAGGUGAUGUAAAAGUCAA
rnacentral:lncRNA from 1 species